GUGCUCGCUUCAGCACCACUUGUACUAAAAUUGGAAUGAUACAGAGAUUAGCACGGCCCCUGUGCAUGGAUGACAUGUAAAUUCAUGAAGCAUUCCAUAUUUUU
rnacentral:snRNA from 1 species